rnacentral:lncRNA from 10 species
CUUGAGGUGGCUUCCGGCCGCCAGGCGAGACUCCGCGGGAAAACUCCCUGCUAGAGAGACUAGGAGAUUUGGGGCUGCGGCCGUUUCCUCCGGAGCACCCACGGGACUGUGUGCUGGGGUCCCUCCACCGGCUGUGUCCUUUAUUCUUCUUUCUCACCCAACGAUUUACCUGAACGGUUAUAAAGUGCACGUUAUUUCCCUAAGCACUUUGAGUAUAUUGGCCCACUGCAUUCUGGACUUCAAAAUUUCUGAUGCGAAAUAUGCUGAUACUUUUGUUGAAGAAAUCUGGGCUUUGAGCAUCUGUAAGAUAUUUGUUGGAAGGUUUUGUCUGGUCCUUCUUACUGAUGUGUUGCUCUUCUUCAUGGCUCGUGAAAACUAUUAGAGUCAUCCAAGGUUUGGAGACAGAAAGGAGCACCGCCAAGUGAGGCAGAGCAGUCUCAGAAACAUAGGAAAAUGUAAGAAACUUAAGACUUGGAACAGUUUUUUGUUGUUGUUUUUUUUUUUUUUUUUUUUUUUUUUUUAAUUAGAAGAGGAACAAAGGACAUUGGGUCACAGUUUCUAAAAUAAACAUGAGCAUUAGGGCAUAUAUAAUAGCACAAUAUGAACCAAACUGAUAAAAAGCAGUGUCACAAUAUCUAUGAUAUACAUUUAUGGCUUAUAUGAAUUGAACAUUAACUUCAGUUUAAGGAUGCUUAGUCUUCAUUGUUCAUAG